GUGUCAGCCGCCGCGGUAAUACGUAGGUGGCAAGCGUUGUCCGGAUUUACUGGGCGUAAAGGGAGCGUAGGUGGAUAUUUAAGUGGGAUGUGAAAUACUCGGGCUUAACCUGGGUGCUGCAUUCCAAACUGGAUAUCUAGAGUGCAGGAGAGGAAAGUAGAAUUCCUAGUGUAGCGGUGAAAUGCGUAGAGAUUAGGAAGAAUACCAGUGGCGAAGGCGACUUUCUGGACUGUAAACUGACACUGAGGCUCGAAAAGCGUGGGGAGCAAAACAGGAUUAGAUACCCUGGUAGUCCACGCCGUAAAACGAUGAAAUAACUAGGUGUAAGGGGUUGUCAAUGACCUCUGUGCCGCCGCUAAACGCAU
rnacentral:rRNA from 1 species